GUUUUAAUUUUGAUCCAAAAUUUUGGGCAUUUUAUGCUAACUUUGCUUGCUAAUUAUUGUGUAUGUGUAGGAGCUACCUGUGAGCAGCAAGAAGACAGUCAUUCCUCAUCAAGUGAUUGAAAUUCAGGGAGUUCUUAUGGGAGUGAUUCGGACGCCGAUAAUGCAUAGUCAUGAAGUUGCAUUGAAUUAAUUGAAAUGGCCUCCCAAGAGUGGAAUCAAGUGGAGAGGUGGAUCAUAAAGUUUGUGCUAUAUAAUUGUCUUCGAUAAAUUUCAUUUGUACUUUUUGGUAUGAGCUGAAUUACGAAGAAGCUCUUUCGAUACAGGGGAUGGGUGUUAAAAUCGGUGAAGUGUGAUAUUGGCAUGAACGAUACAGCUUGCAUGAUGAUUUGUUGGCAUGAAAGCCUCUUUUUGCAGUGUCCGCAUAGACUUGUUAGCUAUUUCUCUUUUGCAUUCUUUUUUUUUUUUUCCUUUUCUUUGUUAUUGAUUUUACCUUGUAAAUUAUCAAUGGAACUAAAUCUAAAAUAAUCAUUACAGAAUCGAAGUGACUUCUUUUGGGACUAUUAUUUUCUCAUCUAAAUCAAUGUAUACUUGAAAGAGGAAUAUAGGGAUCAUCAUUUUUCU